rnacentral:tRNA from 1 species
UCCAGGGUAGCCUAGUGGAUAUGGCAUCUGCCCGGUAAGCGGAACACUGUGGGUUCGAUUCCCAUCCCUGGAC